rnacentral:misc_RNA from 1 species
GGAAGUAUAAGUCGUAACAAGGUCUCCGUAGGUGAACCUGCGGAGGGAUCAUUACAGAGUUCAUGCCCUACCGGGUAGAUCUCCCACCCUAUGUUAUUAUUACUUUGUUGCUUUGGCGGGCCGUUAGGCUCCGGCCCGACUACCGGCCCCGGCUGGUAAGCGCCCGCCAGAGGACCCAAAACCCUGGACAUCAGUGUCGUCUGAGUACUAUAUAAUAGUUAAAACUUUCAACAGCGGAUCUCUUGGUUCUG